rnacentral:rRNA from 1 species
AGAACGAACGCUGGCGGCGUGGAUAAGACAUGCAAGUCGAACGCGACUUACAGCGAUAGCAAUAUCAUUGUAAGUUGAGUGGCGAAAGGGUGCGUAACACGUGGGAAUUUACCAAAAAGUGGGGAAUAGCUCGACGAAAGUCGAAUUAAUACCGCAUGUGAUCGAAAGAUCAAAGCCGGGGACCGCAAGGCCUGGCGCUUUUUGAGAAGCCCGCGGCCCAUCAGCUAGUUGGCGGGUAAAGCCCACCAAGGCUAUGACGGGUAGCUGGUCUGAGAGGACGACCAGCCACACUGGAACUGAGACACGGUCCAGACACCUACGGGUGGCAGCAGUCGAGAAUUUUUUCACAAUGGAC